UACGUAGGCAGCGAGCGUUGUUCGGAGUUACUGGGCGUAAAGAGUGCGUAGGUGGCCAACUAAGUCAGACGUGAAAUCCCUCAGCUUAACUGGGGAACUGCGUCUGAUACUGGAUGGCUUGAGUUUGGGAGAGGGAUGCGGAAUUCCAGGUGUAGCGGUGAAAUGCGUAGAUAUCUGGAGGAACACCGGUGGCGAAGGCGGCAUCCUGGACCAACACUGACACUGAUGAGCGAAAGCCAGGGGAGCAAACGGG
rnacentral:rRNA from 1 species